rnacentral:misc_RNA from 1 species
CAGCUGUUGGUCUUGGACCACUUCAUCUGUGUGUUGAAACUGCAACAAUGGCCCUUUUGGCAGCUCUGAUGUUAUGGUCUGAUGCUCAGCAAUUUUCCAAUGCCUAGAUACAUUUACAAGUAAGAUUUGUCAAAUAUUUUGCAUCUUACACUGCUCCUAGCAUCUGUCAGAUUCAGAUGUAUCCCAAGGAAAUGGCUUAUAAGAACUAGAAGAUGAUAUCUAGCUUUAGUAUGUGAUUCAAGUAAGGAGGCAACAAAUUAUGCUGUGCAAGUAACGGAAAGAAAUAAAUAAUUGCAAUAUUUGAAACCUAACUUUUGUUUUCGUGUCAAUUUUUAUU